UAGCCUAUCAAUUCGGUCUAGCCCAAGCUAUACCAUGUUCUUUUUUACUUUUCUUAAACAGUAAUAUAUUCGAUCGAAUUUUCAUAACUGACUCGACCAAUAUAGAAUUGGCAAUUAUAUUUAUAAUCAAUCAUAUGCUACCUUUGACUUUCAUUCCUUUGAUCUCAAACCAACAACUGCUGAAGAAUUCUUGACAUGGUGGGGGCCUCACUUGAAGAUCAUCCA
rnacentral:lncRNA from 1 species